rnacentral:rRNA from 1 species
UCCUACGGGGGGCAGCAGUGAGGAAUAUUGGUCAAUGGUCGGGAGACUGAACCAGCCAAGCCGCGUGAGGGAUGAAGGUACAGAGUAUCGUAAACCUCCCUUGUCAGGGAACAAAGGCGGGGACGUGUCCCCGGAUGAGUGUACCUGAAGAAAAAGCAUCGGCUAACUCCGUGCCAGCAGCCGCGGUAAUACGGAGGAUGCGAGCGUUAUCCGGAUUUAUUGGGUUUAAAGGGUGCGCAGGCGGUCUGUUAAGUCAGCGGUCAAAGCCCGGGGCUCAACCCCGGCCCGCCGGUGAAACUGGCAGG